AUGGCGAUGGUGCUGGAUGCAUUUGCGUCCUACCUGGUGGACAUGCUAACGCAGGCAGCAGCAGAUGAGGUGAAGACGAUGUUGGGUGUCUCCGGCGAGAUCGACAAGAUGGGAGACAAGCUUCGGGACCUCAAGAACUUCCUCGUCGAUGCCGAUAGGAGGAACAUCACAGAGGAGACUGUUCAAGAGUGGGUGGGGCAGCUCAAGCGUGCCAUGUAUGAAGCUGCUGACAUCCUUGACCUCUGCCAGCUCAAGGCCAUGAAGCGUGGAUCAUCCUCAGUAGAUGCAGGGUGUUUCAAUCCCUUGCUCUUCUGCAUGAGGAACCCCUUUCAUGCCCGUGAGAUCGGCACCCGCAUCAAGGCACUCAAUCAGAGGCUUGAUGACAUCAAGGAACGCAGCGCUGCUUUUAAAUUCAUUGAUCUUGGGUCCGAUGGGGAUCAUAGCAACAAUACCCAUGCCUCUCGCCAUGGUAAUCCAAGCCGGGAGACGGUAGGAGACUUUGACCGGUCUGCUAUUGUUGGAGACAAGAUUGAAGAAGACACGAGAGCAUUGGUGGCCCAGAUCAUGCAGACGAAAAAGGAUGUCAAUGAUGGCAUCAAGGUGGUCGCUAUCGUAGGUGUUGGUGGGAUCGGCAAGACCACCCUCGCCCAGAAGGUCUUCAAUGAUGAGGCAAUCCAAGGUGAAUUCAGCAAAAAGAUAUGGUUGAGCGUUAACCAAAACUUCGGUGAUGUUGAUUUGCUGAGAAGGGCCAUCAUCGAAGCCGGAGGAGAUGCCCAACCACAUGAAAGUUCAAAGACCAGCCUUCACGAAACCCUCAAGAACACAUUGAUUGACCAAAAGACCUUUCUGGUAAUGGAUGAUGUAUGGAACCAUAGAGCAUGGGAUGACGUGCUGAAAUUACCCUUACUCAAUGCUGCUGCAUCAGGCAGCCGAGUCCUCGUCACUACUAGAGAUGAAGUUGUUGCCAGAGGGGUGAAAGCUAUCUGGCCGUACCACCAUGUCGACACAUUAGCGCCUGAAGAUGCCUGGUCAUUGCUCAAGAAACAGGUGCGCUCAAGUGAGAUAGAUGAAGACCACAUCAAUAAGCUAAAGGAUAUCGGACUGAAAAUUAUACAGAAAUGUGGUUGUUUACCAAUUGCUGUUAAAGUAAUGGGAGGACUCUUGCGUGAAAGAGGGGGGCUACGUCGUGGCUGGCAGCAGGUUUUGGAUGACUCUAAAUGGUCAAGAACUAAAAUGCCCGAUGAGCUCAACCACACAGUAUACUUAAGCUAUGAAUAUAUGCCUUCUUACCUGAAGCAGUGCUUUCUGUACUACUCUCUUCUUCCUAAAAGUAGAAUUUUUACUAUGAAUGAAGUUGUUGCAAUGUGGAUUAGUGAAGGAUUUAUUCAUGGAAAUUCUAAUGAUUUAGAAGAAUCGGGAGAAAAUUACUACAAGGAGUUGGUAUCUAGGAACCUGAUAGAGCCAGAUAAAUCUUAUGUUGAUAUAUGGGUUUGCAGUAUGCAUGAUGUUGUCCGCUCGUUUGCUCAGUAUAUGACUAAAGAUGAAGCACUUGUAACUCAAGACGGAGACAAAAAUAUUCUUGCUAAACUUGGUUCACAAAAGUUUCUUCGGUUAUCCAUAGAAACUAACCGAUCACAAUCAGGUGAACUUGAUUGGAAAUCUCUACAAGCACAACAAUCAGUGAGAACAUUGAUCUCAACUAUCCAGAUUAAGAUGAAGCCUGGUGAUUCCUUGGUUAAUUUUUCUAGUUUGCGGACUCUGCAUAUUGAAUCUACAAAUAUGGUUGUAUUGGUUGAAUCAUUGCAUCAGCUCAAGCACCUGAGGUAUCUAACACUAGUAAAUGCUGGUAUGUCUGUACUUCCGGGAAACAUUGUCAAGAUGAAACUAUUGCAAUUCCUUGACAUUGCUAGAUGUACAAAAUUGGUGAAUCUUCCUGACAAUAUCGUGAAGCUUGGCCAGCUGUGGAUACUUGCACUUCCCAAAGCAAGUAUGGUUCCUAGAGGGUUCGGUGGUCUGACAAAUAUGAGGAGACUACGUAUGUUUCGAGCCCAUAUGGAUGUUGAUUGGUGCAGUUUGGAUGAGUUGGGGCCUCUUUCCCAGCUCAGAUUUCUUGCAUUAGUUGAAUUAGAGAAUGUAUCUGCUGCCUCGUUUGCUUCUAAUGCUAGGCUCGGCGAGAAGACACAUCUUAUCAAGCUAUUCCUGUGCUGCACAAGUAAACUGGGAGAUGAUGGGUUGGUCAAAGAGAAGGAAGAUGUCUCCGAGGAAGAGCAGCAACGAAUUGAGAAGGUUCACGAUAAGCUCUGCCCUCCACCUGGUGUAGAACUUCUUCAAAUCAAGGGGUAUUUUGGCCGGCAACUCCCGAGAUGGAUGAUGUCCACAUCAAUGGUGUCUCUCAACAACUUGAAGACUUUAUUUUUUGAUGACCUGGCUUGUUGCACACAACUUCCGAAUGGGUUGUGCCAGCUCCCUAAUCUGCAGUUCCUACAGGUCUCUCGUGCUCCAUGCAUCAAACAUGUCGGGACUGGAUUCUUGGAGGCGCCAGCAGCUUCAUUUGCAAGGUUAAAUGAAAUGAAAUUGUUCGCCAUGGUGGAAUGGGCGGAGUGGGACUGGGAGGAACAAGUACAAGCCAUGCGCCGUUUGGAGAAACUCGUGCUCAUGAAUUGCAAACUGAGGCACGUUCCUCCAGGCCUUGCCUCCAGUGCAAGAUCUUUGAAAAUAUUAGGUCUACAAUAUGUCAAGCACCUUAGCUACAUUGAGAGCUUUCCUUCUGUUGUUGAGCUUCUAGUGAAUCGAUGCCCUGACCUGGAGAGGAUCACCAAUCUCCCCAAUCUGCAGAAGCUUUCCAUCAUGUACUGCCCAAAGUUGAAGGUGCUGGAGCGUAUCGCUUCUCUUGAGAGGCUGGUCCUGGAGGAUUACAACAUGGAAAAACUCCCAGAAUACAUGCGAAACAUAAAGCCAAAGCAUUUGCAGUUAUUCUGCAGGCUAUGGUUGCUCUCUGUGGUUGCCACGGGACAAUCUGGCACUGAGUGGGACAAGUUCGGCCAAGUGGAGCAUGUCAAGGCAUAUGCAGGUGAUGGAGACAGCCAAAGAAAAUGGUAUGUUUUGUACACGAGAGGAGACAACUGCAAGUUGGAUUCAAAUAUUAGCAGCUCUACCGUAUUUGAAGAAACCUUAUCAUCUUCUAUGGUGGAUGCGCAAGGAUUUGACGCUCUGUAUAAAAUGAGAAGAAGUACCUUUAGUUACAUCUGCAGCUUGGUGAGGAUCCCAUUUUUCGAAGGUAUGAUGGCACGGGAUCACACCUUUGUUGAUGGAAGAUUGUUGUCUUUACAAGAUGGAGUAGCUGUCGCUCUGAGGGUACUGAACUCUGGUGACUCUCCGCUUACCGUAGGAUCCUCUCUUGGUGUGAAUGAGUCAACUGUCUCGUUGGUAACUCAGCUGUUUGUUCAGGCUAUGUGCCAGCGAGCAAUGCACCACUUGGGCUGGCCAGGCUCUGCCAAAAUGGAGAAGAUCAAGAACAAGUUUCACAAGAUCCAUGGCCUGCCAAACUGUUGCGGUGUUGUACAUACAACUCACAUCCCGUUUGGAUCAGAAAACCAUGACCAUGGUGUGCUAUUGCAAGCCAUGUUUUAUCCAGAUCUGAGGUUCGCAAACACUUGGCGGGGGGCGUCAGGUAGCAUGAACCAGUUGAGCCUUUUGCAUGAUUCUUCGCUCUUCAAGUCCUGCCAGGAGGGUACUGUGCUGAAUGGCAGGAAGCUGAAUUUAUCAGAUGGCUUGGAUGUUGGGGAAUAUAUAAUUGGUGAUGCAGGAUACCCUCUUCUCCCCUGGCUUCUCACACCUUACCGCCUGGAAGACAAGGACCUCCUUUUUGCAGAUUUCCCUCCUUAUCAAGCCGAGUUCAACAGAAGACACUCUGCAGCAUUAGACAUCACCCUCUCUGCGCUGAGGAGGUGGAAAGACACUUGGAAGAUCCUGCACAGAGGGGUUGGUUCAUGUCCACCUUCUCAAACAAUCUGUGCGUGCUGCAUAUUGCAUAAUAUAGUGAUAGACAUGCAGGAGGAGGAGGAGGAGGAGGAGGAGGAGGAGGUGCGCCGGUUAGCAGACGAGGAUGCGGUCAGGAUGAGGGAUAUACUGUCCCGGCACUUGAUGGAAUCUGGAGGCCACACAAUGGCUGUUGCAGAGGCGGACCAACAAGCAGCAGCAGUUGCAUCUGGUUCGGGAGAUGGAAACAAUGAGCAAGGAGCAUGCCGACGACAAAGAGCAGAUCGAGGGAAGGAGAAAGUGCAUGCAUGA
rnacentral:rRNA from 1 species